rnacentral:rRNA from 1 species
AGAUUAAGUUAUUAAGGGCGCACGGUGGAUGCCUUGGCACUAGAAGCCGACGAAGGACGUUACUAACGACGAUAUGCUUUGGGGAGCUGUAAGUAAGCUUUGAUCCAGAGAUUUCCGAAUGGGGAAACCCAGCACGAGUUAUGUCGUGUUAUCGAUAUGUGAAUACAUAGCAUAUCUGAAGGCAGACGCGGAGAACUGAAACAUCUUAGUACCCGCAGGAAGAGAAAGAAAAAUCGAUUCCCUGAGUAGCGGCGAGCGAAACAGGAAGAGCCCAAACCAACGAGCUUGCUUGUUGGGGUUGUAGGACACUCUAUACGGAGUUACAAAAGAACAGACUAGACGAAUCAUCUGGAAAGAUGAAUCAAAGAAGGUAAUAAUCCUGUAGUCGAAAGUUUGUUCACUCUUGAGUGGAUCCUGAGUACGACGGAACACGAGAAAUUCCGUCGGAAUCUGGGAGGACCAUCUCCCAAGGCUAAAUACUCUCUAGUGACCGAUAGUGAACCAGUACCGUGAGGGAAAGGUGAAAAGUACCCCGGAAGGGGAGUGAAAUAGAACUUGAAACCGUGUGCUUACAAGUAGUCAGAGCCCGUUAAUGGGUGAUGGCGUGCCUUUUGUAGAAUGAACCGGCGAGUUACGAUUUGAUGCAAGGUUAAGCAGUGAAUGUGGAGCCGUAGCGAAAGCGAGUCUGAAUAGGGCGUUGAGUAUUUGGUCGUAGACCCGAAACCAGGUGAUCUACCCAUGACCAGGUUGAAGUUCAGGUAACACUGAAUGGAGGACCGAACCGACUUACGUUGAAAAGUGAGCGGAUGAGUUGUGGGUAGCGGAGAAAUUCCAAUCGAACCUGGAGAUAGCUGGUUCUCUCCGAAAUAGCUUUAGGGCUAGCCUCAAGUGAUGAUUAUUGGAGGUAGAGCACUGUUUGGACGAGGGGCCCUUAUCGGGUUACCGAAUUCAGACAAACUCCGAAUGCCAAUCAAUUUAACUUGGGAGUCAGAACGCGGGUGAUAAGGUCCGUGUUCGAAAGGGAAACAGCCCAGACCACCAGCUAAGGUCCCAAAAUAUAUGUUAAGUGGAAAAGGAUGUGGCGUUGCCCAGACAACUAGGAUGUUGGCUUAGAAGCAGCCAUCAUUUAAAGAGUGCGUAAUAGCUCACUAGUCGAGUGACACUGCGCCGAAAAUGUACCGGGGCUAAACAUAUUACCGAAGCUGUGGAUUGUCCGUAAGGACAAUGGUAGGAGAGCGUUCUAAGGGCGUUGAAGCAUGAUCGCAAGGACAUGUGGAGCGCUUAGAAGUGAGAAUGCCGGUGUGAGUAGCGAAAGACGGGUGAGAAUCCCGUCCACCGAUUGACUAAGGUUUCCAGAGGAAGGCUCGUCCGCUCUGGGUUAGUCGGGUCCUAAGCUGAGGCCGAUAGGCGUAGGCGAUGGAUAACAGGUUGAUAUUCCUGUACCACCAUUAUUCGUUUUAAGCGAUGGGGGACGCAGUAGGAUAGGCGAAGCGUACGAUUGGAUUGUACGUCCAAGCAGUGAGAUUGAGUGUUAGGCAAAUCCGGCACUCUUAAGAUUGAGCUGUGAUGGGGAGAGGAAAUUGUUUCCUCGAGUCGUUGAUUUCACACUGCCAAGAAAAGCCUCUAGCUAGAAUUGUGGUGCCCGUACCGCAAACCGACACAGGUAGUCAAGAUGAGAAUUCUAAGGUGAGCGAGCGAACUCUCGUUAAGGAACUCGGCAAAAUGACCCCGUAACUUCGGGAGAAGGGGUGCUCUUUAGGGUUAACGCCCAGGAGAGCCGCAGUGAAUAGGCCCAAGCGACUGUUUAUCAAAAACACAGGUCUCUGCUAAACCGUAAGGUGAUGUAUAGGGGCUGACGCCUGCCCGGUGCUGGAAGGUUAAGAGGAGUGGUUAGCUUCUGCGAAGCUACGAAUCGAAGCCCCAGUAAACGGCGGCCGUAACUAUAACGGUCCUAAGGUAGCGAAAUUCCUUGUCGGGUAAGUUCCGACCCGCACGAAAGGCGUAACGAUUUGGGCACUGUCUCAACGAGAGACUCGGUGAAAUCAUAGUACCUGUGAAGAUGCAGGUUACCCGCGACAGGACGGAAAGACCCCGUGGAGCUUUACUGUAGUCUGAUAUUGAAAUUCGGCACAGCUUGUACAGGAUAGGUAGGAGCCUGAGAUACGUGAGCGCUAGCUUACGUGGAGGCGUUGGUGGGAUACUACCCUCGCUGUGUUGGAUUUCUAACCCGCACCAUUUAUCAUGGUGGGAGACAGUGUCAGAUGGGCAGUUUGACUGGGGCGGUCGCCUCCUAAAGAGUAACGGAGGCGCUCAAAGGUUUCCUCAGAAUGGUUGGAAAUCAUUCAUAGAGUGUAAAGGCAUAAGGAAGCUUGACUGCGAGACUUACAAGUCGAGCAGGGUCGAAAGACGGACUUAGUGAUCCGGUGGUUCCGCAUGGAAGGGCCAUCGCUCAACGGAUAAAAGCUACCCCGGGGAUAACAGGCUUAUCUCCCCAAGAGUUCACAUCGACGGGGAGGUUUGGCACCUCGAUGUCGGCUCAUCGCAUCCUGGGGCUGUAGUCGGUCCCAAGGGUUGGGCUGUUCGCCCAUUAAAGCGGUACGCGAGCUGGGUUCAGAACGUCGUGAGACAGUUCGGUCCCUAUCCGUCGUGGGCGUAGGAAAUUUGAGAGGAGCUGUCCUUAGUACGAGAGGACCGGGAUGGACAUACCUCUGGUGUACCAGUUGUCGUGCCAACGGCAUCGCUGGGUAGCUAUGUAUGGACGGGAUAAGUGCUGAAAGCAUCUAAGCAUGAAGCCCCCCUCAAGAUGAGAUUUCCCAACUUCGGUUAUAAGAUCCCUCAAAGAUGAUGAGGUUAAUAGGUUCGAGGUGGAAGCAUAGCGAUAUGUGCAGCUGACGAAUACUAAUCGAUUGAAGACUUAAUCAAAUU